GGACAGAUCGUGCAUUAAAUCCAUCGUUGAGAGUACGACCGCAAACGAAAUGAAUGACGAAUCAGAAAAUUCUAAUGAAGAAAAAGACGAAGAAAGCGAAGAUGGCAGUCCAAAAAUUGUCAAUGUUGAGUGAAGUGGCGAUCUUAGCGAUGAAUAUGCAGAAAGUACUCCAUAUCAAAAUAAAAGGUCUGCGCUUUCUAAGAAACGAAAGAGAAAUUCGUUUGAAACUUCCGAACAGCGUUGUAAAAAUUAUUUUUCGGGCAAAAACAGUUCGGAAGCUGAACCACCGAAGAGACCAUCAAGGGAAGUUCAAACUGGACAAUCUGAAGAAUCCAAUGGCUACUUUGAGAUGCUGAAAUCUUACUUUCAAGAGACACUUAAAAACAUGGAAACUGGAAUACAAAAUAGAAUUUUGAAGGAGAUAAAAGCUUUAAAAAAAAGCAUCCUUCAUGACUUCAAAAAGCGAAUGGACUUGCUGGCACAAUCGCUAAUCAACAGUGACAUUGAGGCAACUUUGAGACAAAUUGCAGGAGAGAAAGGGAAGUUAGAAACAUCUUUCCCAAUUAAGGAUCUUGAAACAUUUACAGGUUUCGAAGAAAUCAUAAAAAAUGAUUAAGUGAAAGAGAAAGCAUUUAAAAAUUUGAUGAUUUAUCUGAUGCAAGGAAGUAAAUCUAUAAAAGAGGGAACCUAUAAUUGUCUUCCUCAUUUGAUUAGCAAAGAAUUCCAAGUCGAAUUUACGGUCAGAAGACGAAAGGUGAAGGGGAUGGAAAAAAAAAAGUUCAGUCUCACACAAACUUGCCAACGCAUGUCAGGUAAUGCCGAUUUUCAACAAUUUAAAUUUAUCACCAAAUAUUUCAGGGAAU